AUAUUAUAUCACCUUAACGGAAUUAAUGUAAGCCACAAAAUAAUCAAAUGGUUGAUUAUGCAUCCGUCGUCCUCAUCUACAAGCUUCACACUAAUUAAAUGGCCAGGUAUGGAUCCCUUCUAUACCACCUUGAAGUAUUUAUGUCAUACUUUAGCCAUCUUUUGAGAUCAAAUAUUAAAUAGUGAAUAAACCUCGUAUGAAAGAGCAGAAAACGAAGAGGGUAACACUAAAGGAGUUAAUCUGAAAAGUCAAGAAGAAAGCCAAGCAAGUCGCUUCAAGUAUGUAUCUUUUGCAUGUUUAUUAUUGUUUAUACGUUUGUAGAAGUAUAAAUAACUACUCACAUUGAUUCUUGAAUAGACGUACGUUUAUCAACGUUCGAGCCCAAUUAAAGUUGAGUUCGAGUGUAAUUAAAGUUGAGUCCUUAACAAAGCUUCGUUAAACUACAUUAUAUUUGAGAUUUUUUUAUAUAUACGUUGUAUAUGUGUGUUUAGUGUAUGCAUGGCUUUUUUAAUAUAACAUAUUUGAAAUAUUGUAAAGGAUAAAAGCCAUUAUAGUAAAGCUUUUUUUUUUUUUCUGAUUUAAAUUAUAUGAAUUUUAUUUGUUUUUUUCAAGAAAAGAAAAACAUUGUAAGGGUUUUCAAUAACGAAACUAACCAUCAAUAAAGUUCUUUUUUUUUAUAUAUAAAUAAAUCAACUUUUUAAUGGUUAAUCAUAAAAAAAUGCUUGUUAAUUCAAAUAAUUUCAAACUAUAAUGAUUAUAUAAAAUUAAAAGUUUUGUGUAAUGUCCAAUUGUCCGUCGUAAAGAGAAAACCCUCAAUGGUUAUAUCAGAAAAAAGAUUUCCAAUAGUUAAACUGAAAAAUAAUUUACCCUUUGCAAAACUGACCAAACCAUACGAAACAAAACAAUAAUUUACUCUUUGCAGAAGAUAUACUAAAAACUUGAUAAAGUAUAAGGUAAUAAAAAUAAGAGCAUAAUAAACAAUUAAAACAUCAAAAUAUACAUGCUAAUCCGGGCCGUUUAAUCAUAUUGGUGAUCNUAAAAGUUCAAUUGAGAAAAUAAUAAAUGUUAAAAAUGGGGGAAUCAUUUUCGGUCAAUUAUUUAUUUUUGUCGUAAAAUGCUCCGGCAUACUGGGCUGAAGAAUGAUGGGUAAUAUUCAUAUAUGAAUAUAAAUACAUGUGCAUUCAUAUAUGACUACACCACCUCCUUCCGCCCCCACCCACCGCCGCCACCGUCACCUCUGUCGCCACCUACCAUCGCCAUAUUCAUAUAUGAAUAAUCAGUUUCGCUCUACUUAUUCAUAUAUGAAAAUAACCUGUUCCGUCGGCCCGAUUCGCUGGACCGUUUAAGCGACAAAUUCGAAGUGAGUGACCCAGAAUUAUUUCUUCAUCUCAACUUUUUUUCUGAAUUGAANNNNNNNNNNNNNNNNNNNNNNNNNNNNNNNNNNNNNNNNNNNNNNNNNNNNNNNNNNNNNNNNNNNNNNNNNNNNNNNNNNNNNNNNNNNNNNNNNNNNNNNNNNNNNNNNNNNNNNNNNNNNNNNNNNNNNNNNNNNNNNNNNNNNNNNNNNNNNNNNNNNNNNNNNNNNNNNNNNNNNNNNNNNNUAUAUAUAUAUAUGGCUACAUUAUUGUAUUGUACUAUUUUUUAGGUGGAUAUAGGAUUGAUUGUGGACAAAUCAUUUUAAUUAUUUUAAGAAAGUGAUUAAUAAAUAUUAUUCAACUAGAAAUAAUUGAAAAAUACCAUCUAAUUUCAUUGUAAGCGUAUUUUAGUCAAUUAACAUAAAUUUAGAAAAGGAAAAUUCCAUAUUUAAAGGGAUAAUUAAUUCUCUUGAUUUAAAAAAAUUUGAUUCUUUUUUAAAUUAAUUCACUUUCAAAAUUUGUAAGCAUAAUCGAUUUUGCUCUGCCAAAAUGUUAUUUUUUUAAAAAUGAUAUUCUGAUAAAACUUUCUGUUAGAAUGUUAUUGAAGAAUAACAAAAUUCUUACAUAUUAUUAUAGAAUAACAAUCUUAUACAUUUUAAUAUAAUUGUACACACUAUAACAGAAGGUUAUCCAAUAUGAAUAAAAUUCUUAAAUAAUAGCAUUCGUAAAUAUACAAUACUUGAACAAAUACAGUUGAUCUUCUUGAAUGGUCAAAAUAAUCGAAUUGACUCCAACAAUUACAUUUAUUCUUAAAGAAUAAAAUUGAGAAUCGUUAAAUAUAAAUAAAAACAUUGAAAUCUAAGUCAAACAUUAAUACAUUCUAAUAGACUGUUGUUGCUAAUCAAUUCUGAUAGAAUGACAAAUUCAUUCUGUAAGAAUACAAUGUCAUUAUCAUGCUGGUUUCACAUCAAUCCCUACUACAUACAUGGCAACAUCCACCUCUCAUCAGCGUAUAUCUAUUAAAAUGAGAAAUAUUAAACUAGUAUAAGUGUCAACAUAAUUAUAUUCCCUUUUAGCAAUGCAACUUCAUACCUUUUUUCUAGUGAUAACAAGUUGAUUAAUUACAGCUGGUCUAUAUACAUCUGCAGAGCAUUAACAUGCAACUCUUUCCAUGGAUGACCUGUAAAAAGAAUAAAAGACAUUCUGUAAAGAACAUCAAUAAUAAAAGAAAUAAGAAGCAUUCUAUUAGAAAACAUCCAUGAUAUAAAAUCCAAAUGUAGCAUCUUUGAUAAGAAAAAAAUCAAAAAUACAUUAGUACUUUCCAUUUGUAAUUGCUAAAAAAAUUAGAUUUGACACAUAAUAUGGUUAUGGUACAUACUUCACACUUCACAUCAUAAUUAUAAGAAAAUCAUACAUCAAUAAUAAAAGAAAUAAGAAGCAUUCUAUUAGAAAACAUCCAUGAUAUAAAAUCCAAAUGUAGCAUCUUUGAUAAGAAAAAAAUCAAAAAUACAUUAGUACUUUCCAUUUGUAAUUGCUAAAAAAAUUAGAUUUGACACAUAAUAUGGUUAUGGUACAUACUUCACACUUCACAUCAUAAUUAUAAGAAAAUCAUGACCAUAAGGUAAAUUUGAAGAUAUAUAUUUAAUAAGAAAAUAUUAUAUAUAUAUAUAUAUANGUCGUGUAUUGGCCACAACGUGGUGACCCCAAGGUGUAAAACCCUAAAUUUUCGGGCUUAAGGCACUAUUUAAAGGAUGUGAUUGCUAGGGGUUCUUCCACCCUCAGCCUUCAUCACUCCUUUUGAGCACAAGACCCAACUCUAACCUCUUUUCAAGCUUUUGAACUCAUUUAGGUGAUUUUGGUGUUCAUUAAAGGAAGAAGAAGAAGUCUCUGGUGCAAGGAUCUAGCAAGCAACUCCUCUCCACAUUUGUGAUCAUUUUCUAGACCUUUAUAAGCCCUCAAGACUUAAUAUAUAUUGUUCAUUUCUUAUAGAUCUAAUAUUUUUGGCAUAUUUUGGUCCAUGUUUGAAGUUUGGAUGAUUGGGUGGGAUAAAGUUAGCAACUUUAUGGUUCAUCAAGGUCCCUUGUGCGUUAUGUCUUCUGGAUCCAAGAGUUGGUGUUUAGAAUGCCAUGUAUGAGAUGUAGGUCAUUUUCUCCCCUUUUGACAUAGUUUGAGUGGAGGAAAUGAAUGGGUUGUGCAUGUCCAUAAAUGUUGGAUUUUUAUGAACCAUUAGGGUACUAAAUAUGGCAGGGUCGGCCUUACUUUGGUUUUAAUUAAGCUAGGGCUUAGGGCCCCAACUUUUAGAGGGCCUCACUUGAACCAAGAUAGUUCAGCAAAAUUGAAAUCUUGAUUCCUUCUACUUUUGCAGUUAACCUAGGCAUGCCACAAAAAUCAUCAACCAAAAUUAAUUGACAGCGACUAUUCUUCUUCCUUCUCUUCUCAUUCUCAUUCUCGAUUCUUGUAAUCCAGUCUGAAAAAAAAAUACCUUUUGUUCUUCAAUCUUCACUUCUUCUUCUUCUUCUUCUUCUUCUUCUUCUUCUUCUUCUUCUUCUUCUCUUCCUUCUCUGAAUGAUUAUACACUCUCUGAAAAAUAAAUACCUACGGCUUCUCAGCGUGAUUCUUUUUAUGUCUUUCGAUUCUCCAUUGUUGAUCAUUUGAUUGUUCAAAAGACUCAAAACUUCAAGGCUAUCAUUUAAGAAGACAAGAUCAAAAGAACUGAAACGGUAUGUCCAGUGUUUCUAAUUUUCAGUUUUGAGUAAUUUAGUUUUCCAUUGAUUAACCCUAAAAUCGGCUAUUAACCAUUAUUCACUGAUUAUAGAAGGCUUUGAAUGAGUCUGAAAAUCAGCUAUUAACCAUUAUUCAUUGAUAACUUGGAACAAAUCAAGACUAAUCAUUACAGGUAGUCCUUAAAGCAUAAUCAGAAGUUGAAGUGUGGUGCUGUCACAAAGUAUUUUCAAUGGUUUAUUCAUUAUUUGCCUAUGUUUGCUUAAAUUUUGUUUCUAAUCUAAUGCAAACUUAGAAUUUCAAUGCUAAAGGGCCCUAAAUUUUUCGUUUACUUAGAGCCCUCAAACUGGUUGAGCCGUCCCUAUAUAUAUAUAUAUANNNNNNNNUAUAUAUAUAUAUAUAUCUUAUUUGGGGUUUAAGGUUACCAUGGAGUAAUUGAGUCGUUAAUAAGUAAAACAAUCAAACAAUAAAAAACUUAUUGUUAGCAUAAAUUAAUUCAUGAAAAGGUAAUACAAAAAGAGCAUGGUCCAUUAAAAACUUACGAUGCCUUCUGCUUUAUAAUUUUUUUUAGAUGUCUGUGACGAUUUCAUUUGAUUAUUGAUUGCUAUAAUGCAUAAAAAUAUGAUUUGAUGAAAUCAUCUACGUGAUCAGAAAUAGACACAAUUAAUCAAACGAUCUUCAGUGAUGAUUAUGUAAAUAGAGAAUUAUCAGUUCAAUAAUGACCUAAAUCGAGGAAGGAGGCAACGGCAAGUGUUGCAAUUUGUAAUAGGGUAAAUGACACAAAAAACACUCUUUUUACACAGAAAUUCGAUUUUGACACCGUGUUUUUUUUUUGUGUCAAUCUUGACACUGUUUUUCAAUUUGUUACAAUUCUGACCACUUGACCGGUUAACCAGGUUACAUGCUGACGUGGCAUGAUGACAUGUCAGUUUUUGAUGACGUGGCAUGCUGAUAUGAUAUACUGACGUGUCAAAAUCGAUUGGAACAAAAAAAACAUAGUGUCAAAAUUGAAAUAAAAAAUUAAACUUAGUGUCAAAAUCGAAAAAAAGUGAAAAUUUAGUGUUUUAUGUGGAAAAAAAUCAAUUUUGACACGUUAGCAUAUCAUGUCAGCAUGCCACGUCGUCAAAACUGACACGUCAUCAUGCCACGUCAGCAUGUAACCUGGUUAACUGGUCAAGUGGUCAAAAUUGUAACAAAUUAAAAAACACAGUGUCAAAAUUGACACAAAAAAAACACGGUCUCAAAAUCGAAUUUCUGUGUAAAAAGAGUGUUUUUUGUGUCAUUUACCCUUUGUAAUACAGCAGAGAUAUCAAACAAUUUGCAUGUUUAUUGCAACCAUCAAUUACUUUAAUGAUUUCAAACAAUCAAUGGCCUUCCUAAAAACCGAGAAAUCAAAUAUCUACAAUUGAUUUAUCAUCUUCUUCAUUCUCCCAUCUUUUUCUUGCAAACUAGAGUUGCCUGAGAAUUUUUGUAUCCACACCCUCUAAUUUCUUAAUUUCUGUCAUUUUUUGGAUGUAUGAUUCUAUACCCUCCAGAUUUUCUUUUGUACAAGAUAUUAAUCUCACUUGACACCAACCAUCCAAAUCAAUACAAUCUCCAAAAAGAGUAAUAAAAGCGCCACAAAAUUUUGCCAAUUUCUUCAUUUAGGAAGCCAUAAAAGUCGUGAUCAACAUUCACUAGUUGCUCGAUUGCUUUUGAUAUAAUUAAAGGAAGUCAAAGAAGGGCUUAUUUGAUAAUCGUACACACACUUUAAAGGUUGCUUUCAUCAUAACAAGAUUUGAGUUUUACAUACCAAAGAAAAAAUAACACCCACUAUAUAAUGUUACUUCUUGUAUAUCCUUCAAAAUAGAAAAUAAAUUAAAAGAUUAAAGCUCCUAAUAAUGCUCUUAUAGCUUUUUGGGUCUAUACAUGUACCUACAAACUAAGAUGAUGUUAAUUAUAUACAAGCAUAAAUGAACAUGUUAAUUCCUCCGUUCUUCCUUCCAUAAAGAACUAUAAUUUUACUUUAUGUGUAAAGUACAGGCAUAACCGAACAAUUGAACAUCGAAUCCAUGUAAUAUUUAAACUCUCGUGACAUUUUCACAUACCGUUGAACAAUAUUUGGUCAUCAACCUUGAACAACUUAGAAUUAGCAUGUAAUUUUGAGUCUAGUAAACUAUGGAACAACAAAGUAGUUCAACUGAGAAUUCACUGUUGUAGUUUGACACUUGUUGGUUCUGUAACCAAUUAAACAGCAAAAGAAAGAAGCGGUAGAUGCAUUUUUCACUACAUUUGUUUCUAAAAUCGAAGAGAAUCAGAUGGAAUUUUCGUUUGGCUUUUAGGCCGUGGAGGUGAUAACAAGAGGCGAUUUGUAACGUUCCCAUUUUCAUGACAAUUUUUUUUUCAUUUAAUUUAAAGUAAAACUUCCUAAUUAUAAAACCAUUUUAUGAAAACCAUUUGUUCCCAAUUACAAUUAUUAAAAAUGAGAGUAUUAUAAUGAAUGUGAAAUCCUCAAUGUUGCUGAUGAGUGUAUACAGUCUCACCUUCGUCUUCCCAUAGCCACCAAUGAUACGUGAAUCACUAAACAACUGGGUAAGCAUAAAGCUUAGCGAGUUUUCCCCAAAAUACCACAUACGAUAAACAUACAAGCUAGCAUGCCUAAUGGCCUACAACCUCCCGGUUGGAAUGUCCAGGUUGAAUCAGUCCUUAGACUGGAAUGUCAUCAUGCAACGGGUCCAAUUAGCCAUCGGGCUAGAAUACCCAGGUUUGUUGGCCUACCGCCUCAACCCAACCGCUCUUCCCGAGUCUCCGUGCCUACGUCUUACAGUCGGUCUGCACGAGUAUCUUGACCUACAACACAAAGCAAGUUCGCCUCAACCCGCUACUACCAUAUGUCGACAUAUAAACAAUCAGGAUCAAGUAGGCACAUAAUACAUGAAAACAGUAAUCAUACAACUCACUACUGCAUACUAGUCCUUUCACAACACACAGACCCGCUACCAACUAACCUGCAUGGAAUGUGUAACCAUAAGUACCCAGAGGUGAGAUAGCCACCCAAAUAGAUGAUCCUACUCUAGAGCCACAACCAAACGAGGAACAUGAAAGAAAUCCUAGAUCAAGAGUUCUCAGGCUAUCCUACAUGAUUACAUACAGUCCCUAGGGCACUCCACUAGAUGAUAACCAACAAGUACAGAUAGACACACAGAUCUAACAGAUCAAUACAUCAUAGCAACAUCCUAUAAACCAAGAUACAUAUCUAACAUAUCAUUACAACAUAGCAACAUCCUCUAUACCAGGAUACAGAUCUAACAGAUCAUUCCAACAUAGUAACAUCCUAAGUACCAACAAUCUAAGGAAUAUAGGACCGUAUAUACUCAGAGGUGAGAUAGUGUAACGCCCGCAAAUCUGGGCUAGUCAAAUUAGAGGCAAUAGGGGUCGAAAACGACUUUUCGACAAAAGAUUAUUUAGAAUAAAUAAUCUUAACCAAGUUGUAGAGUAUGUUACAAGGUUUUCGUACAUAUUAAGAACGCCGAAAACCGAGUUAUAACGAAGAAGUUAUGACCCGUUGAAGUUUCGCGACGGAACCGGCACGAUACCGGGAAACGUAAAUAGUGAAUUUAUGAUAGAGCGAGAUUUAGCCUUAGCGAUCUAAACGAAAGUCGUAGAAUAUGUUAAACUAAGAACAUCAAUAAAAAGAACGCCCAAAUCUGACUUCGUAUGAGGAAGUUAUGAUUUUUCUAAGAUUUAGCAUAGCAGUGCACAGCCGGAAAUCUGAAUUUUAGAUCGGUCGAUUUUUAGCCGACGGGAUCUAAAUGAAAGUUGUAGUACUCGUAAAUACCAACGCGUGGAUAUAAAGAACAUCGAUAAUAGAGCUCGUAUGCAAAAGUUAUGGAUGAAGCUUAGUCCCUACUUUUCGAGCGCGGCGAAUUCGAUACAGUUUCGUAAAUACGAGAUAGAAUGAGAAUUAGCCAACGAGGUCUAAAUGAGAGUUGAAGAUCUCAUUAAUAGGAACUCAACGGUAAAAAGACAGACAAAAAUGGAGCUCGUAUGCGAAAGUUAUGGACGAAGCUUAGUCCCUACUUUUCGAGCGCGGCGAAUUUGAUACAGUUUUGUAAAUCCGAGAUAGAAUGAGAAUUAGCCAACGAGGUCUAAAUGAAAGUUGAAGAUCUCAUUAAUAGGAACUCAACAGUAAAAAGACAGACAAAAACGGAGCUCGUAUGCAAAAGUUACGGACGAAGCUUGGAGACUACUUUACUAUACACUUCCUAUAAAUACAAGGGUGAACUCCUCAUAUUUUCUUCACACCAUAAGCCUUUCUUUCUCUCUCUAACUUCUCUCUAACCUCCCUAAACCCCUCCCAAGUCUAGGGAACCUCCCUAUCACGAGAAGAAAGCCCCGGAGCGCCCGACGGCUCCGAGAAGAAAAGCUUUCGGCUCGGAAACGCUGCUCCAGCGAAGCCCGGUUUUUAAUAAAAACCCGCUGUAAGUGAGCUACGCCUAUAGUAUAUUUAAUAUAGAUUUUAUUUAAUUAUAGUAACAUUGUUAGGACCUUAAAAUAAUUAUUUAGGCUAUUAUUAUGAGUUAUAUUGAGUGUUAUUUAACGCUUAUAUAAUAGUAAUAAUAGCUAGACUAUUAAAUUAGUCUCGUCAAGCGUUAGACUAAACUCUAGUGGUAAUGAUACUAGGUUUCGUCAAGGGAUAAUUGUUUUAAGAGUAACGAAGUGCUGUCCGAGUGCCGACUCACCACCUUUCAGGUGAGUGCAUAGUCCCUUUCAUCUUACACAUAGAUAUGAAGUAUUUUAUAUAAACUACGUGCUAUGUGUGCACAUUAUCUGAAUACUUGCUGUCUAUGCUGGUUGAACGUUUUAUACAUGUUUUAAAGGACUUAAACUGUAUACGUAUUUUAUAUAUACGAAAAUGUUGGGUAUGAGAUGGGUAGAUGAAUGAUGAGAGAUAGAAGAUGACGUGAGUAUACAUUGGCAGCUAUAGACUUAGUGCCUAUGGGACAAACACCGGUAGCUAUGGACUUAGUACCUUUUAGACGUUGGUAGCUAUGGAUUUAGUACCUGUUGGGAAUUGGUAGCUAUGGACUUAGUACCUAUUAGUUAGACGCUGGUAGCUAAGGAUUUAGUACCUGUAGGAAUUGGUAGCUAUGGACUUAGUACCUGUUGAACAUUGGUAGCUAUGGACUUAGUACCUAUUAGAUAAAGACUGGUAGCUAUGGAUUUAGUACCCGAUGAAUAGACUAUAGCAGCUAUGGAAUUAGUGCUUUAUGAACGAACAUUGGCAGCUAUGGAUUUAGUGCCAGUCCCAUAACCCUGGAAGUAAGGGACUUCGGAAUAAACGAAUGCAGGAUAGAUGACUCUUAGGUUAAAUCCUUAAAGAGUAAAGAAGAUAAUGGGGAUGGGUAAUUGGGUUGAUUGUUUGAUUGAACAUAAUAAUUAUAUUAUUGUGGGUUGAAAACCCUAUGUACUCACCAGGUUUCCCAACCUGACCCACUCAGUUUAUGUAUAUCACAGGUGACGAAGUGAAGUGACAUUACACUGAGAGAUUUAAAAGAGAUGUAGAUCACUAGUGUAAAUCAUUGUAAUUCUGUUUAUGCUUAUGUUUCGGUAUUAACGAUGACAUCCCAAACAUUUUAAAAUGAAAUAAAUACGUUUCUUCGAAAAUGUUUUAAUAACGUAUUUACCAUGUUUUUCUGGGAACAAAUUCCGCAACCUUUUUAUAAAAUGAAGUACUCUGAUUUUUAUAAAGCAUAAACAAAAUCGGUCUUUUCUGGCCGUGAUUUUGGGGAUGUCACAGUUGGUAUCAGAGCAUUAGUUUAAGCGAACUAGGAAUAUGGAUUUAUUUCUAGACUUAAACUUAGAAUGCUAAGCGAUGAUUGUGAGGUGUGAGCACUAGCUUAUUUUAGGAAUUGUGCCUAAAAUGCUUUUAUGUGCUAAAUGCUUUGUGCAUGAUAUGUUGUUAAUUGUUCGGAUCUAUGGUCUGUUGCCGACCGGAUCUGGAAACCUUAUGUGUUUAGGAUUCUAAACGUACGACUACGGUAUUAGAACUAGCAUGUAAAUGUUUCGGAGUGAUAAGGAUGAUUUAAACGUCAAGUAAAGGUCUAAAUUCACCUUAUUCGGUGUAUAGAUCGAGAUGGUAAGGACCCGUAGCGGAAACGUAAACGCAAAUGGGAACAGGAACCAACCCCCAGUGGUUCAGCAAAUACCUGUUGUAGAAGAAGUUGCGCCUGAGCCAGUCACCAUGGCUGGAGUUCAAGCCAUGAUUCGGGCUAUGUUGGCUGAACAAAGGGAAGAAAUGAGACGGAUGUUGAAUAGGGACGAACCUACUAUGCCCAUUGAGCAACCCGAACUGAUUCCCGAGCAAUCUGAGGAAGGGAACUACAGCCGCCAAGUGAGUCAAGUUGGGACUCAAGGUGAGCAAAGGGAUGGCCCAGAAGGGAGAAACAACAAGGAUGGGCGGAUGUACAAGAACUUCUUGGGUGCGAAACCACCAAGCCUCUCAGGAAGCCCAAAGCCGGUUGAGGUUAUGGAUUGGAUCUCUGAGAUGGAGAUGGUGUUUGAGAGCUGCAGCUGUAAUGAGAAACAGAAGACUGUCUUUGCAGUAAGACAGCUGAAAACUGGAGUCUUGAGCUGGUGGAAGCUAUUGGCAGAUACGAUGCCACGAGGAGAAGCCUUAAGGAUGUCGUGGGAAGAGUUUUUGGAACAGUUGAAAAUGCAGUACUGCUCGGAGGUAGAUCUGAUAGACCUAAACAACGAGUUUCAGAACCUGAAGAAAGGGAAGAUGAGUGUUGAUGAGUAUGCCACCGCAUUUACCGAGAGGAUGAAGCUAUUUCCCUACUUGGUGCCUACUGAACUCUCCAAGAUUGAUAGGUUUGCUAACGGACUGCCCACUGACUUUGGUCCAAUGGUCAAAAUGGCAACUACCUUAAAAGCAGCUAUUAGGGCAGCUAAGAACGUAGAGGCCCAGAUAAGAGAAAAGGGUCUAGAAAAAGAUAAGGCAGGAGAGAAGCGAAAGUUUGAGGGAUCUUCGAGGUCGAACAAGGAAAGCAAAUUCUCAAAACUCGGAGGAGCAGAUGGAGGUGAAACAAGAUGGUGUGAUAAAUGCAAGAAGAAGCAUGGUGGGAAGUGCAACGAAGAAGUGACUUGUUACAAGUGUGGGAGGACGGGUCACUAUUCCAAAGACUGCACACAUAAUGACAAAGUAUGCUACGGAUGUGGAGGCAAGGGGCACAUGUCCAGAGACUGCCCAAGGAAAAAUAAAGCAGCAAGACCAGAAACGCCACCAAGGCCAAGGGCAUUUCACAUGAUCCUCGACGAAGCAGAGAACCAUGCGAGGAAUCAAGAAUGAGGACUUCUUACCCGAAGAUCGGAUUAUGCAGUAGCCAUAGUUUCGUAUGAUGUAGCCUAGUAGAGGCAUAGUCUAGGGUGAACUUGAACACCUAUGUAAUCGUUUCAAGAAUUAAUAUAAAACCUUCGUUUUGUUAUCUGAUGUGUCGAAUGAUUGUGUGAUUUGCUGCAUGGUGACUUGGGAAACUGCGAGACAAUACUUGGGACGAGUAUGAGUAGGUGUGAAUGGUAGUAGAGGCCUAUACUACCGGAAGCACAGGACUCACACUUGGAUCAGGGAAAGUCACAAGGUUACCAAGAAGCUAGUAAUUGAUUUCGUUUUAUUCAAGUGUGUUGUUACCAUCGUUUCGGUAAUGACUAAGAAGAUUGUUGAUAUUCCGACCCUAGUGGUCAUAUCGAAUCGAGUCCGACUACGAUGAGUAUGUUGUGUGGUUCAGAGAACCAAGUUUGAUGUAGCGUCCGACUUAAACCAAACGGUUGAAAUCAAAGCGAUCAAUAGAAGUAUCGCACUCGUUGUUAAAGAAGUUGGUGGCUAGAAAUGCCUAAUGUUAAAGUGUGAUUAUAUCACAUUAGAACAUGAAGGAAGGCAUAGUCUGUUUUAGAAUUUAACUCUAAGAGACCUAAGUCUAAGUGUUGCAACAUACGAUGAUAGGUCAUUAGAAUAUGACACAUCGAUCUAUAGUAGUAAUAAAAGAACUUAUCUCAAGUCCGUAUCCAGCAAGGAUCGAGAUUGUGACUUGAAGGUCAUAAUUUGGAGUCUAACCUGAGGUAGAGAGCAGGUGCACGAUCGAGUACUCUUACAGUCAAUGAGUUUAAGAGAUAGAAUCGAAGGAAUGUAGAAGUUAUAAUUAUUACCUAGGAUGAAGAGAUGACGUAUGGAGUCAUUAUACGACCCUGUUUCGUUGAUGAUUCCGGGACGUAAUCAUCCUAAGGGGGAGAUAAUUGUAACGCCCGCAAAUCUGGGCUAGUCAAAUUAGAGGCAAUAGGGGUCGAAAACGACUUUUCGACAAAAGAUUAUUUAGAAUAAAUAAUCUUAACCAAGUUGUAGAGUAUGUUACAAGGUUUUCGUACAUAUAAAGAACGCCGAAAACCGAGUUAUAACGAAGAAGUUAUGACCCGUUGAAGUUUCGCGACGGAACCGGCACGAUACCGGGAAGCGUAAAUAGUGAAUUUACGAUAGAGCGAGAUUUAGCCUUAGCGAUCUAAACGAAAGUCGUAGAAUAUGUUAAACUAAGAACAUCGAUAAAAAGAACGCCCAAAUCUGACUUCGUAUGAGGAAGUUAUGAUUUUUCUAAGAUUUAGCAUAGCAGUGCACAGCCCGAAAUCUGAAUUUUAGAUCGGUCGAUUUUUAGCCGACGGGAUCUAAAUGAAAGUUGUAGUACUCGUAAAUACCAACGCGUGGAUAUAAAGAACGUCGAUAAUAGAGCUCGUAUGCAAAAGUUAUGGACGAAGCUUAGUCCCUACUUUUCGAGCGCGGCGAAUUCGAUACAGUUUUGUAAAUACGAGAUAGAAUGAGAAUUAGCCAACGAGGUCUAAAUGAGAGUUGAAGAUCUCAUUAAUAGGAACUCAACGGUAAAAAGACAGACAAAAAUGGAGCUCGUAUGCGAAAGUUAUGGACGAAGCUUAGUCCCUACUUUUCGAGCGCGGCGAAUUCGAUACAGUUUUGUAAAUCCGAGAUAGAAUGAGAAUUAGCCAACGAGGUCUAAAUGAAAGUUGAAGAUCUCAUUAAUAGGAACUCAACGGUAAAAAGACAGACAAAAACGGAGCUCGUAUGCAAAAGUUACGGACGAAGCUUAGAGACUACUUUACUAUAAAACUCCUAUAAAUACAAGGGUGAACUCCUCAUAUUUUCUUCACACCAUAAGCCUCUCUUUCUCUCUCUAACUUCUCUCUAGCCUCCCUAAACCCCUCCCAAGUCUACGGAACCUCCCUAGCACGAGAAGAAAGCCCCGGAGCGCCCGACGGCUCCGAGAAGAAAAGCUUUCGGCUUGGAAACGCUGCUCCAGCGAAGCCCGGUUUUUAAUAAAAACUCGCUGUAAGUGAGCUACGCCUAUACUAUAUUUAAUAUAGAUUUUAUUUAAUUAUAGUAACAUUAUUAGGACCUUAAAAUAAUUAUUUGGGCUAUUAUUAUGAGUUAUAUUGAGUGUUAUUUAACGCUUAUAUAAUAGUAAUAAUAGCUAGACUAUUAAUUAGUCGUGGUUAACGUUAAAAACUAAACCCUAGUGGUAUUGAUACUAGGUUUUGUCGAGGAAAAUUGUUUUGAGAUAACGAAGUGCUGUCUGAGUUCGGAAUCACCACCUAAUCAGGUGAGUGCAUGGUCUCUUUCAUCUUACACAUAGAUAUGAAGUAUUUUAAUAUAAAUUACGUGUUAUGUGUGCAUAUUGUCUGAAUACUUGCUGUCUAUGCUGGUGAAAGAUUUUUAUACAUGUUUUAAAUGAUGUAAACUGUAUAAAGUAUUUUAUAUCUACAAGAUAUGUUGGGUAAAACAUGGGUAGAUGAAUGAUGAUGGAUAAAAGCUGAAAUAGAGGAACAUUAGUAGUACGGACCUAGUGCCCUAUAGGUAUACAUUGGCAGCAGUGGACCUAGUACCCUAUAGAUGAGCACUGGCAGCUGCGCCACAACCUGUAGAUGAUUUAGAUCUACGGUAAACAUCCUAGCAGCUGCGCUCUAAGGAUAGUAUCGACAGUUGCGCCUAAUAGGGAGCCUUAUGACCAUGACAGUAGUGUUUAAAGGUCAAUACCGGCAGAAGCGCCUCAUAGAAAAUGUCCUAAUUCUGGCAGCUGAGCCUAAGUGACAAUAUUAGCAGCUGCGCUUGACCAAUGUGUCAUUGGCAACAAUGGACUUCAUGUUGUUUCCUUAGGAUGAUCCUUAGGAAUGAAUGAAUGAGAAAUAGUUGAUUCUUAGGGUAGAUCCUUAAGAAUAAAGAAGAUAAUGGGGAUGGGUAAUUGGGUUGAUUGUUUGAUUGUUUAAACAUAAUAAUUAUAUUAUUGUGGGUUGAAAACCCUAUGUACUCACCAGGUUUCCCAACCUGACCCACUUAGUUUAUUUAUAUCACAGGUGUUGAUAUGAAGUGACAUUACACUGAGAGAUUUAAAGAGAUGUAGAUCACUAGUGUAAAUAAUUGUAAGUUCUGUUUAUGCUUAUGUUUCUGUAUUAACGAUGACAUCCCAAACGUUUUAAAAUGAAAUAAAUACGUUUCUUCGAAAAUGUUUUAAUAACGUAUUUACCAUGUUUUUCUGGGAACAAAUUCCGCAACAUUUUUAUAAAAUGAAGUACUCUGAUUUUUAUAAAGCAUAAACAACAUCAGUCUUUUUUGGCCGUGAUUUUGGGGAUGUCACAGAUAGACACCCAGACAGGUGAUCCUACUCUAGAGCCAUAACCAAACAAGGAACAUGCAAGAAAGCCUAGAUCAAGAGUCCUCAGUCUAUCCUACAUGACUAUAUACAAUACCUAAGGAAUCCUUCUACUAAAAGAUAACCAAAACUAGUGGGUUGGUGUUGGUGUCUUCGACCCAUGGGUACAAAGAGGCAAAACUCACCUAAAAUGAAGAACCCAAAAAGAUGAUACGUGCUUCCCUUUCUGCGAUGUGUACUACCGCGAAUCCGCUAAUCACCAAAAGCCAAGUAAAACCUUAAUCAACAGUCCAAAAAUCUCAAGUAAAACCUAAAGUCAAUCUUAGUUAAAAGUCAUUGGUCAACGAAGUUAACAAAGUCUACUUCCAUGGUAGCAGUGUAAGCCCAACAUAGGCGACCUGAACAUAUUUCUCCAUUAAGUACUUUAUCACUUAAUACAUUUUGUCUAGAGCUCAGAUCUAGACUCAAAACAUCGACUUAAGUAAUAAAGUUUCCACCUUUAUGACUUUCCAUGGCUAGAAAAGGUUCAAAAGCCAAACCCUAACUUAUUAAUCCAUUAAGACAUCAUAACUCUUAAAUGGAAGGGGUAGAAGGACCAAGAUCACAAUUUUAUGGUUCCCAAUAGCUUCAUAAUGGAUAAAGUUUCUAACUCUAUCCAUUAGAAUGGUCUCAACAAACAAGAUCUAUUCUUUAAGUUUCAAAGGGACCAAAAGUGCAUCUUUUUCCAACUUAAUCCAUUAACUCCCAGGCUCCAACCUUAAGAUCUGAAUAUGAUGUUUAGAUGGAUAAAGUUUCCAACUUUAUCCAUAACAAGGUCACAAACUUUCAAGAUCCAAACUUUAUGCACUUAAAGUAACCAAAAGCUCAUAACACCCAAAACUAGCUAGAUCUAACAAUUUCUUCAUCAAGAUUCAAACUUUAUACCUCUAGAAGAAAGAUCAAGGUGAACAAGGUCUGGAUCUACAAGCUCCAAUGCCACCAAGACUUCCCCAAUGAACUCCUUCUUUUCCAAGAUACACCAAGAACACUUCAAAGCACUUAAAAACACAUUCUUUUUGCUCACAAGGCUCAAUCUAGGGUUAUGGUUUCAAGGAAGCAUGUUGAAGGGGUGGAGGCUGAGAAUGGAAUGAGUUCGGGGAAGUUAAGGAGCUUAAAUAGAUCUCAAACCAUGAAAAUAGGGUUUGGAUUAUGAUAGCCUACGCCCAACGUACCAGGGAUGUCUAGUACGCCCAACGUACCCCCUUACGCCCAACAUACGUGGCUAACCCAAAAUCGUCAUAACUUCAAAUGUUGUAACUUCUUCUUUCCAACUCCGUUUUAGACCGUUAUUUAUAUCCACGGAAAGGUGUUGAAGAGUCCCACAAUAUUAUCUAGAUAUAUUGGACUAAAAAUUUCUCGAACAAAAAUCCAUAUUUCAUGCAAGAAGUCGGGAUCUGAUUUUUCCCUUUUUGCCCUUCAACCCAAAACACAAUUCAAAGGCUAGAUCUCUUAACCAUCAUUACCUCCUUCCAUAAGGUUUAAUCUUUACCUGCUUAAGGCCCAAAGUCUUUACACAAUCGACUUCCGGCCCACGUCCCUGAAAUAAAUGACGGGAAACAAGAUGUUACAUGGUUGUUCUAUGUAGGCGACUGAUAAGUAGGGAAAUAUGGAAAUUGUAGGUUUUUUUGCAUUGUUGUCCCGAUCCUUCAGUUUUAAAAGGGGGGCCGAAUCAACUAAAUAUCACAGACCAAGUCAAUCAUUUGGACCAAGUCCAUUGGUUUUGAAGCAAUAUCAAAUAUGCUAAAUUGCUAAAUUGAUCUUUUUGAACUCGGUCCUCAUUUGGACCCGAUUAAAAACCGAUAUCAAACACACCCUAAACUAAUCAUUAUAAAUGGCUUUUUAAGAAAAUAAUCAUUUUUUUUAUUUUUUCAAAAAUAACCAUUUAUUUUCGUAUGCACCAUUCCAAAUAUGAUCUUCAAAUUUCAGAUUCUUUUCUGGUUUUUUUCCAGUAUUUUUUUUUCUAAAAGUAAGCUUUCUACUUAUGUUCGAAAUGUUAAUUUCAAAGUGUUUAAUGUUAUCAUUUUUCAAUCAAUGUAUACUUGUGUGCUCUAAUAUCGUAUAUAUCAAUGUAGUAAAAAUUGGUCUAGGAAGUCGAUUAAUCAGUCCCUAGGCUCUAAGCGGCCUAGACCCGUCUACGAUUAGUGUUAGGAGGUCUUCUUAUAUGGUCUUGGUCAAUAUUAUUCCUAGGCGGAGCUACACGGCCUAGGCAGUCUUAAGCAUUCCUGGUGGCCGAGCCUUUCAAAUUUCGAAAUUUCAAAAUAUCAAAUAUUAAACCAAAAUUUUCAAAUUUUCAAAUAAUGUACCAAAUUUUUUAAUGUUUGGUACAUUAUUUUGAAAUUUUAAAUACUUAUUGUCUUAGUAUGAAUUAAUAUUUGCAUAAUUAAUGGUAGCAAAACCCGAUGUCGUAGGUUCAAAUCCUACAGAGCGUGAUUUGGAUCUUCUUCGAUAGAAUUUGGUUGAAACACUAACUGGAAUGACAAUCUGAAUUUGACCUCCUGGAUAUUAAAGAAAGAAGGAUGUCAAUAAAAAAGAUGUUAAUUAAUCUAAUCAAAGGUCCGACUGAUCCAAUCCACCGAAUAACUAA
rnacentral:lncRNA from 1 species